GCCGGACACCACUCACGCCUCUUCUCCUUCUCCGCGGGUUGGUUUAGCCCCAGAGGCUUUUGACGUGAGUAGACACAUUGCACUCGUUCCUCAAUUUAGAGAAACAGAAGUGGAUACUUACUUCAGUGCGUUUGAACGCAUCGCAACUUCUCUUCGUUGGCCUAAGGAGGUCUGGUCUUUGCUUUUGCAAUGUAGAUUAUUUGGUAACGCGCAAAAAGUUUGUUCUACAUUAUCGCUAGAAGAGAGUCUGAAAUAUGAGUCUGUGAAGUCUGCUAUCCUGCGAGCAUAUGAGUUGGUUCCGGAGGCUUAUAGGCAACGUGUUUUUAGAAAACACAAAAAGAGUCCUACACAAACAUUUGUGGAGUUUGCUAGGGAGAAGGGAGUGUUGUUUGAUAAAUGGUGCACUGCCAGUAAAGUGAGUGAUUUUGACUCUUUAAGAGAGUUGAUAUUGCUAGAGGAGUUUAAGGGAUGUGUAUCUGAACGUGUAGUAGUAUACCUUAAUGAACAGAAGGUAACUACUUUAUCACACGCAGCUGUACUCGCAGAUGAGUUUGUUUUAACUCACAAGAAUGUAUUUUCCUCUGCACGUCCUGAAAAGUUACAGUUUGACAGUUCGCAAUCUCAAACUUCACGUUCAAGAUUUAGCCCACCUCAUAAUAAAGAGGAGCGUGAAUGUUUUUACUGUCACAAGAAAGGGCAUGUGAUCGCUGAUUGUUUGGCUUUGAAGCGCAAGCAGCAGCCACAACCAAAGAGCGUGGGGUUGGUGAAAGCUUUUAAAUCUGCGGUCGCUGUGCAUCCUGCGGAAAGAAUUGAUGAGAGUUAUCGGCCCUUUGUGUCAAAAGGGUUAAUAUCUCUGUCUGGGAAAAGGGAGGACCAGGAAGAAGUAAGAAUACUCAGGGACACUGGUGCCAUGCAAUCCUUUAUUUUGGCAGGUAAAUUACAGCUGUCUGACUAGACCUUUUGUGGCGCUAGUGUGAUCGUGCAAGGCAUUGAGAUGGGUUGAGUGAGAUUCCCGCUCCAUCGGAUGCACUUACAGAGCGAGUUGUGUACUGGUUUUGUGAGAGUUGCUGUGAGUCCUUCACUUCCUGUGAAAGGUGUUGAUGUUAUUCUUGGAAAUGACCUGGCAGGUGGAAAGGUAAUGCCUGUUAUUGAAGUUGUUGAUGAACCAGAUGCGUUUUGUGAGUUAGAGGCACUGUCUGAAACUUACCCUGAUGUUUUUCCAGCCUGCGCCGUUACGCGCGCUCAGUCGCGUAGAGUAGGU
rnacentral:lncRNA from 1 species